CGGAGCAUAGUAUAGUGGUAGUACGCGUGUUUUGGGUACACGUAGUCCCGGUUCGAUUCCGGGUGCUCCGACCA
rnacentral:tRNA from 1 species